AUGGUCACCCUGGAGCCGACUUUCAUGGCAAAGCUGGACCAGCACACCCCAAAGAUUCUUUCUUUGAUGGCUUCAAGAGGGGGAGCUGCAAAACCGAAGAUCCAUCUCAUACAGAACAUGCUUCUACAAGAGGAGGCGUCUUCAAUUGAGAAAAAGAGAGAGGCUGCAAUCCGGGGCUUAAUCCUGUACCUUGGAGAAAAGGAUGAUGAUCUCAUUAAAGAUGAAUUGCUCGCCACUACCACUGAGGUUCCCCACUACCUCUACAGAGAUGGGAGAAAUCCCAGCGGGAGAAGAAUCUUCAUGCAGAUCUCACCAGGAAUCCAUGCAAGCAAAAAGACCCGGCCUAUAAAGGCCAGAAAAAGGGUCACUAUAACAUUCAUAUAAAUUAAUACUUAAGUAAGUAUAGUACAUACUACAUUUAAUACUAAAUGUAAAUAGAUGCAUAUUAACACAUAUUUAUACAUAUACAUUGUUUUCUAAUAAUCAUGUUAACUACUUUUUAACACAUUCUCAACAUUAACAUGAGACAAAUGGCUGAACAUUUCUUUCCGUUCAUCUCCUUUACUUUUAACUAAAACACCGUAAUGUAAAACAAUUUUAAAACAUACAUGAAAUGAAUGCCCCGUUAAUCCACAUUAACAUUAACAGAUGCACACUUCAACUCUG
rnacentral:lncRNA from 1 species